rnacentral:rRNA from 1 species
UACAGAGGGGGCAAGCGUUAUUCGGAAUUAUUGGGCGUAAAGGGCGCGUAGGCGGCCUGGCAAGUGGAAGGUGAAAUCCCUCGGCUUAACCGAGGAACUGCCUCCCAAACUGCUUGGCUUGAGACCAGGAGAGGUGAGUGGAAUUCCCAGUGUAGCGGUGAAAUGCGUAGAUAUUGGGAGGAACACCAGUGGCGAAGGCGGCUCACUGGACUGGUACUGACGCUGAGGCACGAAAGCGUGGGUAGCAAACAGG